GGGACGCGCCGGCGCUGCGGCGUUGGCGCAGUCGUGGGAACAGCGCGGAGCAGGUUUUUUAAAAUAUAUUCUUUCUUUAAAAAGAGACCAAAACCUGUCAAAAAAAUACUACCGUGGAAAGCUCAUAAAUACUACAGUGUGAAGAACCCUGUGCUUAUCUUCAGUUUAUCAUCAGACAUCUUAGGGAAGUUUAAUAAAGAACACCAGGAGAAUUGAGAAUUAAAUGAAAAGGUAAAUCCUUUUAAAGACCUCAGAAGAUGGAUCUGUUUGUUUCAAUCUGCUUUUGAGGUUGUUUGCUAUGUCUUUGGCUGAUCUAACAAAAACAAAUAUAGAUGAGCAUUUCUUCGGCGUGGCAUUAGAAAACAAUAGGAGGUCUGCAGCAUGCAAGAGAAGCCCAGGCACAGGCGAUUUUUCACGGAACAGUAAUGCUUCCAAUAAGAGUGUUGAUUAUAGCAGAUCUCAGUGCUCCUGUGGAAGUUUAAGUUCUCAGUAUGAUUAUUCAGAAGACUUUCUCUGUGAUUGUUCAGAAAAGGCUAUUAAUAGAAAUUAUUUAAAGCAGCCUGUGGUAAAAGAAAAGGAGAAGAAAAAGUAUAAUGUUUCUAAAAUCUCCCAAUCUAAAGGCCAGAAGGAAAUAUCAGUUGAAAAAAAGCACACCUGGAAUGCAUCACUCUUUAAUUCUCAAAUCCAUAUGAUUGCCCAAAGAAGAGAUGCUAUGGCUCAUCGAAUACUCUCAGCAAGGCUUCAUAAAAUUAAAGGACUAAAAAAUGAAUUAGCUGAUAUGCAUCAUAAAUUGGAAGCCAUCCUUACAGAAAACCAAUUUUUGAAACAACUUCAGCUUAGGCAUUUGAAAGCUAUAGGAAAAUAUGAGAAUUCACAAAAUAAUCUACCUCAAAUUAUGGCUAAACAUCAGAAUGAAGUAAAAAAUUUAAGGCAACUACUUAGGAAAUCCCAGGAAAAGGAAAGAACUCUAUCUAGGAAACUUAGAGAAACUGACAGCCAGUUACUGAAGACUAAAGAUAUCUUGCAGGCACUGCAGAAACUUUCUGAAGACAAAAACCUUGCAGAAAGGGAAGAACUCACUCAUAAAUUAUCUAUUAUCACAACAAAAAUGGACGCAAAUGACAAAAAAAUACAGGUCUGUAUUUCAGGGGCCCAGACAGUUUAAGAUUCCAAAGUUAAUAGAGAGAGGGUGUGAAUUAAUCAUGGAUGCGCCCCCUCUGUAACAAAGCAUUACUAACUGCUUCACUUGGCGUGCUGCACUAAAUAAUUAUGUUGUCUAAUAGAGGGCACAGAAAGGGAGUGGUUUGAAGGAAAAACAGAAGCAGCUCAAACUAGAAAUGUUCAUCUGUUGCAGUGCACAAGAGUUCACUCUGUGGCUGGACUGGUUUAUCUGGAAAUGACCAUUCUCUAAGAGAGCACAGCUACAGUGCUAAGGGACUUUUUCCCUGUGCUGAAAAGAUUGCAUUGUGUUACGUGAAACCUCUCUUUGAAGUCAACCCUCUACCUUAAACUGUUGAUUAAAAGGCUACUUCCCUAAAAACCUACUCAGUGCAUCCGUUCAGGGCCUUUGUAUUCUCCCUCACCAUUUUGGCCAGGAAUUACCACACAGACAUUUGUAGUUAUUUUCAAAAUAGCAGCUUUUCCCAGAUAAUGUUCCUGGGUAGUAGGGAAGGAAAAGGAAUUAAAAUAAUUAAAGAGA
rnacentral:lncRNA from 1 species